UUAAUUGUUUAAUUUAAGGGCAUUCCUUAGAAUAACCAAAGCUUAAUGUGCUGAAAGAUUGGUCUCGCGUCUGAUUAGCUAGAUGGCGGGGUAACGGCCCACCAUGGCGACGAUCAGUAGCCGGUCUGAGAGGAUGAACGGCCACAUUGGGACUGAGAUACGGCCCAGACUCCUACGGGAGGCAGCAGUGGGGAAUAUUGGGCAAUGGGGGAAACCCUGACCCAGCAACGCCGCGUGAAGGAAGAAGGCCUUCGGGUUGUAAACUUCUUUUAGUAGGGACGAAGAACGUGACGGUACCUACAGAAAAAGCAACGGCUAACUACGUG
rnacentral:rRNA from 1 species